rnacentral:rRNA from 1 species
UCGCCACGGGAAUACGUAGGGUGCGAGCGUUAAUCGGAAUUACUGGGCGUAAGGCGUGCGCAGGCGGUUGUGUAAGACAGGUGUGAAAUCCCCGGGCUUAACCUGGGAACUGCGCUUGUGACUGCACAGCUAGAGUAUGGCAGAGGGGGGUGGAAUUCCACGUGUAGCAGUGAAAUGCGUAGAGAUGUGGAGGAACACCGAUGGCGAAGGCAGCCCCCUGGGCCAAUACUGACGCUCAUGCACGAAAGCGUGGGGAGCAAACAGGAUUAGAUACCCCUGUAGUCCCUGUCUCUUAUACACA